rnacentral:rRNA from 1 species
UACGAAGGGGGCUAGCGUUGCUCGGAAUGACUGGGCGUAAAGGGCGCGUAGGCGGUUCGUACAGUCAGACGUGAAAUUCCCGGGCUCAACCUGGGGACUGCGUUUGAUACGUGCGGGCUUGAGUUCGGAAGAGGGUCGUGGAAUUCCCAGUGUAGAGGUGAAAUUCGUAGAUAUUGGGAAGAACACCGGUGGCGAAGGCGGCGACCUGGUCCGAUACUGACGCUGAGAAGCGAAAGCAUGGGGAGCGAACAGG